rnacentral:lncRNA from 1 species
AAGAGUUACACCGUUACAGAUGAUAUAAAUGUCGUAGACGAUGCUUUGCUAUGACAUGCUAUGACACUCCGAUAGAUGAGCACUGAAUGUUCUUUCGUAAUAGAGCAAGGCCCUCGUGACGUAGCAGAAAUAGCAAUUGAACAGACUAAGUAUAGAUAUGUAGUGACUGCUCUAUAGUGAUGAGAACAAGUGAAGUUCGUUCUUGUGAGAUUACGGAGGAAAGCCCAUUGGUUAUAGCUAACGUUAAUAAAUGAAAAUCGGAGGAGGAAGCCUCCUACCGACGUGGCUCGGGGGUAACCUUGUUCAAGGGAAAAACUGGCUUUUCUGUUAGACAAAUAUCCACGUUUUCCACGUUGUAAGAACGUGCAAUAAACCUAAGGACUGUCUAAUGGUGUUGGGCCUUGACGGAUCGCUUAACUUUCCGUACCGGCUUGUGUGACCCCCCACCGCUUUGGAAGUUGCGCAGCGAGACUAAGGUGCGAGGAGUCAUUCUGUUGUCUUAUUUCGUGCCGGCAACGUGGUUCGUGUUGAGUCAGGUGACUACACAAACCGGACUCCAUUCCUUGGGCAAGAUGGCUGUCAGAUGUUUACACAUCACUAUUGCGGACCUUGAAGAGUCUCCAUGACUUACCAUAAAUAUUAGCAAUUUCGUAGUUAAUUUCCUUCAGACUAAACAGACAAUGACCGUUACCCUCACCUUCCUAGUCAAAAUUGCCAUCAACGAAUCCGAUGGUACUGUGCGCUAGACACACCCAUCAAUAGUUUUCCUCUGCGACAGCAUCGUCACCGAACUUUACGUUUCUUCAUCCUUGGAUCAGUCACCAUCUCUUGAUUGGUUUUCCGUCCAUUGACCAGUCAUCAAUUCAACUUGUUACUACAAAGUUGUUAGAAUAAAGUGUAUAUUAUAACCUGUUACUUCAGUUCAACCAUCUCUAUUAUUCUAACUGAAAUAGGAGAUCGACCAAUUCGUGGCAUCGAUUAUGAAAUCGUAACGGGAAUUUACGGCUCUCGUUGGCGGGCUUCUUGGCAAUCGCGUCUUCCCGCGAACGGUCGAACAAGCUAGUGCAUUUCUCAAGAGGAUAAAGUCUCUGUAGGAUCUCAGGAAUGCAUAUCACUGCUUCAGCUUCUUCAUCUUCCUUGGGAAUGUUCUAACAGUGGCUCAAAAGCCAAGAAUAUUUUGCACAAUCCCUAUUUCUAUCAUUGGAUUUUCAACGGUUCCUGUUUGAUGUUAGUCUUCCUGGUGACAUUGGCUGGGAUAGCGCGGCGAUUUGAUGGCAUAAUGCUUCUGAUCCUCUGCUUCUAACGGCCGGAUGUGCUCCUUAGCGGUACUCCUUACGGGAUGAUGGGCUUCCGGUCUUGGAGAAAAAUAGAAAAAAUAGGUCAGGAUAA